CUUAAUUUUUGAUUUCUAGAUCCAGACGUUCAGUCAUCCCUGCAAACAGACUUCUGAGGGGAGACUUUGUGUUAUCUUUAAUGAAAUGUCAGAUAUCAUGAAAUGGAACAAAUGCAGAAAGAAUUAUAUAAAUAUUUAGUAUCAAAUCAAACAGAGGUUGAGAUAUAUCAAAGCUCAUCUAAACCUUUCAUAACUGUUUAAGGUAAGCUUUAAUACUUUCAGUCUCUUUACAUCCCUAAUGUAUGUAUGUUGCAGAACUACAUUAUACAUACAGUUCAUAAACAUACACAGUAAUGUAGCAUAAUAGGCUAUAAAUAGUACUAAUGUUAUUAGUUAGAUUUCAGAUAUGUUGGCCUAUGCAUUUUUAUGCUAUUCUCUCACGAUUCUGAAAACAAACAUUAGAACAAAAAAAAAAAAAAAAAUUAUUUGAGUUUCUGACCAAAUGUUUUAUAAUGUUAUAAAUGAGUGUAUUUAUAAAUGUCUAAAAUGUUAUAAAUUAGUCUAUUUUAAAAAAUAUACAUUCAUUUAAAUUAAUUCAUUAUGUAGCCUAGGUAAAAAAAAUAAAAAAAACUACCAAUUAAGACUAAAAAAAAAAAAAAAAAUUAAAUUUAGAGUUUCUGACCAAAUGUUUUAUAAUGUUAUAAAUGAGUGUAUUUAUAAAUGUCUAAAAUGUUAUAAAUUAGUCUAUUUUUAAAAAUAUACAUUCAUUUAAAUUAAUUCAUUAUGUAGCCUGGUAAAAAAAUAAAAAAAACUACCUUUACAUUAUGCCACCUACUGGCAUAGUGUAUCAUAUGCAAUCUAUAUUUGAAGCGUAUCAUUAGUCCCAAAGGUUAUGCUGUUCUGCUGUCUUUAAGACACCUGUGCCGAGGUGAAAGCUCUCCCACAUGUUCACGCCCCAUCCCAUCCCAUCCCAUCCCGUCCCGUCCCGGCCUGUCCUUGCUGACCCAGAACUCUUUUUUCCACUUCCCGGUUCAAACACUUGCUCUGGAGGUACGAGCGUGGGGUUUGCAGGCGAGAAAUGCCUGUGUUUGCACGUGUAACAAAGAGAGCAAAAGUGAAUGAAAGAUUAGGAAAGAUAAAGAGGAGGAGGGCAGAGGUGAGACAGAGGAGAGGAUAAAAAGAGGGAUGAGGAUGAGAGAGGGAGAUGAGAGGGUGCGAGAGCAGAGUGGGGAAGAAGAGGAAGAGUGGGCUGCUAUUUUUACAGCUCUCUAUAGGGAGCCCCUGUGGCAUACCGCUAUCCAUCUUAACACCGUGCACACACUGAGACACUGAGAGAGCACAGAUACUCUAUUUGUAUUUGCUCUCUCUCUCUCUCUUCUCCCCCUCUUUACUGCGUCCUGAUCCCUGCACACCACGCAUGCCACAGGGUUAAAACUGUUACACUCCGCUGCUCUCACAUCUCUUUGCCUAUCCAUUUUAUUUUCCCUUCCUUGACUGUAUUCACAACGUUCUUUGCUGUUGCAUGUCUGCAUUUUUUUCGUCCUUGUCCUAAUUGUUUUAUUUUAUUUAUUUAUUUGUAAACUGUUCGCUGAGGUAAAUGUUGUUGACUCAUCCUUAUGUUCAUAAUGUUAUAAAGUCAUAAUAUACAAUUUGUGCU
rnacentral:lncRNA from 1 species